UCCACUCCCAUCCCCCAACCCCCUCCAGCCAACCUGUCUCCACUCCCACUCUCCCAUCCCCCCAACCCCCUCCAGCCAACAUGUCUCCACUCCCAGUCCUGUUCUGUGACCUUGGGCUUCUACUUCGCGCCUGAGCCAUUGUUACUCCUAGACGUUUCCACUUCAUAAUAACAGUACUUACAGUUGACCGGGCAGGGAGCUCUAGCAGGGCAGCUCUAGCAGGGCAGCUCUAGCAGGGCAGAAAUUUGAUGAACUGACUUGUUGGAAAGGUGGCAUCCUAUGAUGGUGCCACGUUGAAGGUCACUAAGCGCUUCAGUAAGGCCAUUCUACUGCCAAUGUUUGUCUAUGGAGAUUGCAUGUCUGUGUGCUCGAUUGUAUACACCUGUCAGCAACAGGUGUGGCUGAAAUAGCCAAAUCCACUCAUUUGAAGGGGUGUCCACAUACUUUUGUAUAUAGAGAGUAUUUAAGACAUUGGCUCCAAUCUAGGUUGUGCCUUUAGAUUAGGAGAAAAUUAACAACUAAGGAAGAAUUCUUCACUUCUCUCAUUGACUUGUCAAACCCCCAAACCCUGGCCUGGUCCUCUUGGUCUGUUUCACAAGCGUUCCCGGAAGUCUCUGAUGUUGCGCUUCUGGGUCCAGAAACUGUGAUUUUUCUGUUACUGCUUUUGCCAAAGUAUAUUUACGGUAUUUCGAUACAAUUGAGGCUUUCAGUCCAUAUUUAUACGUCUUUAUUAGUGGUUUUUUUUCAUCUGUUUUGUAUUUAUUACAGUUUUUUUUUUACUACAAAGUAUUGUGUAUUUGACUCGCCUGUGGUGCCAGGUAAUAUUGAACGUUCAGACAUCGUGGGCGGCAGGUAGCCUAGCGGUUUCGAUCGUUGCGCCACAUGUUGAAUAUGUUCAGUAGUUCUCCAAAUCCUGAAGCUACUUUUCCUUGAUACAUGUUGAAUUUGGAUUACAUUUGGGAUUUUUUGGUUUGUUGUACCAAAACUCCCUGUACUGUGUACUUUAUAACUGAGCUUCAUGUCCAGUUUUUUUCAUAACGCUCUCAUUGCCACAAAUCAUAUAAGAUACUUCAAAAUAUAUAAUAAUUACUUAGAACUUUUAUUUAUACUCAUUCAUUUCCUAAUACUUCCAAACAUGUUGUUGAACUGUAUUGUAAAAUAUGAUUCUGCUUGUUACAUGUAAGGGCAUAAGAGGAGGUAGAGGAAGAGGUAGAGGUAGAGGAGGUAGAGGUAGAGGUAGAGGUAGAGGUAGUGGUAGAGGUAGAGGUAGAGGAGGUAGAGGAGGUAGUGGUAGAGGUAGAGGAGGUAGAGGUAGUGGUAGAGGUAGAGGUAGAGGAGGUAGAGGUAGAGGUAGUGGUAGAGGUAGAGGAGGUAGAGGAGGUAGAGGUAGAGGUAGAGGUAGUGGUAGAGGAGGUAGAGGUAGUGGUAGAGGUAGAGGUAGAGGUACUCAAUCAUUCAAAGACACCUGCUGUGUGCCUCAAUGUGUGAAGAUCAGGAAUCUGCAAUGUUUGGGGAUUUUACCAACUAUCUUUACUGCAAUAUACAUACUUAAAAAAAAAGAGUCUUUCCUUGAAAUCUACAGGAACUUGUUGGACCGUUUUCUGAAAUAAUGAAACAUGCAAACAUGUUCCAGACAUUAUGUGAGUGUUACUAUAAAUAUGGGGUAUACAGUACAAACAUGCACAAAAGGGUUAUUUUAAUUUUGAUGGGAGACGUAUAAACAAUGUAAACAGUGCUAGGUGUAGGGAAUAGGGAGCAGUUUCACCCCCUAGGUCUCUGUGUAGGGAAUAGGGAGCAGUUUCACCCCCUAGGUCUCUGUGUAGGGAAUAGGGAGCCGUUUCACACCCUAGGUCUCUGUGUAGGGAAUAGGGAGCAGUUUCACCCCCUAGGUCUCUGUGUAGGGAAUAGGGAGCAGUUUCACCCCCUAGGUCUCUGUGUAGGGAAUAGGGAGCCGUUUCACCCCCUAGGUCUCUGUGUAGGGAAUAGGGAGCAGUUUCACCCCCUAGGUCUCUGUGUAGGGAAUAGGGAGCAGUUUCACACCCUAGGUCUCUGUGUAGGGAAUAGGGAGCAGUUUCACACCCUAGGUCUCUGUGUAGGGAAUAGGGAGCCGUUUCACACCCUAGGUCUCUGUGUAGGGAAUAGGGAGCCGUUUCACACCCUAGGUCUCUGUUGAGAGAAACGUAAUUUGAAUCAUCAGUACAGUAAGGGGAUCUUGUUACAGUGAAACAGACGGAAACGGCCUGGAUACAAAAAAUAAAAAAUAAAAACAUUUGCAAAAAAGGUGCAAGUGAUGCUUUUUGAAGUAAAUGAUAGGCUGGCUAAGCCAAACAGUUAUAAUGUGGCACAAUUAUUUCCUGUUUUUCAUGAAUUCGAAAACUUUGUAUGUUUUAUUGUCAACAGGAGUAUUACUGUAAUUAUUAUUAUUAUUAUUAUUGAUUAUUGUUAUGACUAUUACUAAUAUUAGUGGCAGGCCACUGGGUAACAUUGUAUGUCGAUAUCCAAAUGAAAUCUGUGCAAGAUAAUGAUGCAAAAUGUUUAUGAGUUUUUAAAAACAAAUAAAAAAGGUAGACUACAGGACUGUGUCAUUACGGUUGUUGUAACUGUGAAACUCUGAGAUUAACAAAUAGUUGAUCUAAAUCAAUUAUUCAAUUAAUCAAUCAAAAUCAAUUAUGACACCUUUUAUAUGGGGUGGUUGGUAGCCUAGUUAUUAAAGCGUUGGACUAGUAACCCGAAAGGUUACUAGAUCAAAAUCCCCGAGCUGACAAGUUAAAAAUCUGUCGUUUCUGACCCUGAACAAGGGUCCCCUGGUAGGCAGUCAUUGUAAAUAAGAAUUUGUUCUUAACUGACUUGCCUAGUUCAAUAAAGGUUAAAUACAAAAAAAAAAGAUCAAUGUGUUUACUUUUUCCAUGUGUCAUCAGUAGGCCUACUGGAAUACAUUUGAAAAACAGGAAAGAAGAG
rnacentral:lncRNA from 1 species